GAUGAACGCUGGCGGCGUGCCUAAUACAUGCAAGUCGAGCGAACAGAUAAGGAGCUUGCUCCUUUGACGUUAGCGGCGGACGGGUGAGUAACACGUGGGUAACCUACCUAUAAGACUGGGAUAACUUCGGGAAACCGGAGCUAAUACCGGAUAACAUUUGGAACCGCAUGGUUCUAAAGUGAAAGAUGGUUUUGCUAUCACUUAUAGAUGGACCCGCGCCGUAUUAGCUAGUUGGUAAGGUAACGGCUUACCAAGGCAACGAUACGUAGCCGCCCUGAGAGGGUGAUCGGCCACACUGGAACUGAGACACGGUCCAGACUCCUACGGGAGGCAGCAGUAGGGAAUCUUCCGCAAUGGGCGAAAGCCUGACGGAGCAACGCCGCGUGAGUGAUGAAGGGUUUCGGCUCGUAAAACUCUGUUAUUAGGGAAGAACAAAUGUGUAAGUAACUGUGCACGUCUUGACGGUACCUAAUCAGAAAGCCACGGCUAACUACGUG
rnacentral:rRNA from 1 species